CGUGUGCUUUCCCUGUCCGGCAGGACUGGGUAACCCGUUGAAUCUCCUUCGUGAUAGGGAUAGGGGCUUGUAAUUAUUCCCCUUGAACGAGGAAUUCCCAGUAAGCGCGAGUCAUCAGCUCGUGCUGAUUACGUACCUGGCCUUUGUGCACACCGCCCGUCGCUACUACCGAUUGAAUGAUUUAGUGAGGUCCUCGGACUGGCUGGCGUCUUCCGUCUCGUGCAGAGGUCGCUGUGCCGGAAAGAUGACCAAACUUGAUCAUUUAGAGGAAGUAAAAGUCGUAACAAGGUUGUC
rnacentral:rRNA from 1 species